AAUGGGUCAGCGACUUAUAUUCUGUAGCAAGGUUAACCGAAUAGGGGAGCCGAAGGGAAACCGAGUCUUAACCGGGCGUUAAGUUGCAGGGUAUAGACCCGAAACCCGGUGAUCUAGCCAUGGGCAGGUUGAAGGUUGGGUAACACUAACUGGAGGACCGAACCGACUAAUGUUGAAAAAUUAGCGGAUGACUUGUGGCUGGGGGUGAAAGGCCAAUCAAACCGGGAGAUAGCUGGUUCUCCCCGAAAGCUAUUUAGGUAGCGCCUCGUGAAUUCAUCUCCGGGGGUAGAGCACUGUUUCGGCAAGGGGGUCAUCCCGACUUACCAACCCGAUGCAAACUGCGAAUACCGGAGAAUGUUAUCACGGGAGACACACGGCGGGUGCUAACGUCCGUCGUGAAGAGGGAAACAACCCAGACCGCCAGCUAAGGUCCCAAAGUCAUGGUUAAGUGGGAAACGAUGUGGGAAGGCCCAGACAGCCAGGAUGUUGGCUUAGAAGCAGCCAUCAUUUAAAGAAAGCGUAAUAGCUCACUGGUCGAGUCGGCCUGCGCGGAAGAUGUAACGGGGCUAAACCAUGCACCGAAGCUGCGGCAGCGACACUGUGUGUUGUUGGGUAGGGGAGCGU
rnacentral:rRNA from 1 species